rnacentral:lncRNA from 1 species
UAUUUCUAAAAAAUUCUCUAGUUUCUAUGGAUUGGGUAAGUUGAUAAUAUAAUUAUGACAUAACAAUUUUCAAACUUAAUUAUGAAUUUGAUGAAUCGAUGUUAAAAAAAAACCAAUUAAAUUAGCCAUACAUGAAAAAUACAAGAUAAUUUUCUUAUAUUACAAAUUAUAAAUUUAUUUAUUUUUAAAAAAAAAUAAAAAUCUAAGAUACCCAACUUAAGAUCCUACCAAUAAACACAUCUCAAAACUAAAAAAAAAAACUAAAACUCUUAAACUCUACUUUUUCAAAAUUUAUACUAAAUUAAUGCUA